ensembl:snRNA U6 U6 spliceosomal RNA
GAGCUCACUUCACAGCACGUAUACUAAAACUAGAACAAUACAGAGAAGAUUAGCAUUGGCCCUGCAAUUACAUGCAAAUUAUUACAUAUGAUUUACAUUACA